GACGAACCGUGCGAACGUUAUUCGGAAUCACUGGGCUUAAAGCGCGUGUAGGCGGGGCGGCACGUCGGUCGCUGAAAUCCCCCGGCUCAACCGGGGAAGGGGCGCCGAUACGACCGCCCUCGAGGGACGUAGGGGGAGCUGGAACUUCCGGUGGAGCGGUGAAAUGCGUUGAGAUCGUGAGGAACGCCCGCGGCGAAAGCGCGUCCCUGGACCCCACCUGACGCUGAGACGCGAAAGCCAGGGGAGCGAACGGG
rnacentral:rRNA from 1 species